CUAUGGGGUCCCUAUUGGUCUUUAAGGGUCCCUAUGGGUCUCUGUAGGUCCCUGUGGGUCCCUAUGGCUCUCUAGGGAUCCCUAUGGCUUUCUAUGGGUCCCUAUGGGUCCCUAUUGGUAUCUAAAGGUCCCUGUGGGUCCCUAUGGGGUCCCUAUGGGUCCCUAUGGGUCCCUGUGGCUUUCUAGAGGUCUCUAUGGGUCCCUGUGGGUCUCUGUAGGUCCCUAUGGGGUCACUUGGGUCCCUAUGUGUCCCUGUGGGUCCCUAUGUGUCCCUAUUGGUCUCUAAGGGUCCCUAUGGGGUCUCUUGGGUCCCUAUGUGUCCCUGUAGGUCCCUAUGGGGUCUCUAAGGGUCCUUAUGGGUCUCUGUAGGGCUCUGUGGGUCCCUAUGAGUCCCUAUGGCUUUCUAGGGGUCCCUAUGGGUCCCUAUGGGGUCCCUAUUGGUCUCUAAGGGUCUCUGUGGGUCCCUGUGGGGUCCCUAUGGGGUUCCUGUGGGUCCCUAUGGGUCUCUAUUGGUCUCUAAGGCUCCCUAUAGGGUCUCUUGGGUCCCUAUGUGUCCCUGUAGGUCCCUAUGGGGUCUCUAAGGGUCCUUAUGGGUCUCUGUAGGGCUCUGUGGGUCCCUAUGAGUCCCUAUGGCUUUCUAGGGGUCCCUAUGGGUCCCUGUGGGUCCCUAUUGGUCUCUAAGGGUCCCUGUGGUUCCCUAUGGAGUCUCUGUGGGUCCCUAUGGGUCCCUAUGGGGUCCCUAUUGAUUUUUAAGGGUCCCUAUGGGGUCUCUUGGGUCCCUAUGGGUCCCUGUAGGUCCCUAUGGGGUCUGUGUGGGUCCCUAUGGGUCUCUGUAUCUGUGGGUCCCUAUGGGGUCCUUAUGGGUCUUUUUGGGUCCCUGUCGGUCCCCUAUGGGGUCUCUAAGGGUCCCUAUAGGUCUCUAUGGGUCCCUAUGAGUCCCUAUGGCUUUCUGGGGGUCCCUGUGGGUACCUAUUGGUAUCUAAGGGUCUCUGUGGGUCCCUAUGGGGUCCCUAUUGGUCUCUGUGGGUCCCUAUUGGUCUCUAAGGGUCCCAAUGGGUCCCUGUAGGUCCCUAUGGGGUCUCUAAGGGUCCCUAUGGGUCUCUGUAGGGCUCUGUGGGUCCCUAUGAGUCCCUAUGGCUUUCUAGGGGUCCCUAUGGGUCCCUAUGGGGUCCCUAUUGGUCUUUAAGGGUCCCUAUGGGUCUCUGUAGGUCCCUGUGGGUCUCUGUGGGUCCCUGUGAGUCCCUAUGGCUUUCUACGGGUCUCUAUGGUUCCCUAUUGGUCACUAAGGGUCUCUGUGGGUCCCUAUGGGUCC